AUUGAAAAGAUACGCACCCCUUCUUCACCCAGAGCAGAAUCUUUCCCCACUGAACCUGAUGAUCUGCUAGAAGAAGCUACUGGAUCUCAGCGCCCUAAAAAUCUCAUGCAAACACUUUUGGAUGAUUACGAGACCCAUAAAAGCAAGAGGCGGGAGAAAAUGGAUGAUUCAAGUGUCCUUGAAGCAGUACGAGUGAACCGCAGGAAAAGUGCUCUUGCUUUGCGCUGGGAAGCAGGAAUAUACGCCAAUCGAGAAGAAGAUGAAUAAAGACUUUUCAAAUUCAAUAUCCAAAAAAAAACAUAAAAAGGAAUCAUUUAAUCCCAUAUUUAUUGAACAUUCAGCAGCCUCUGCAAUUCAUAUAGAGAUAAUGCAGGCCGUAUUUGUAAGACAGUGAAUAACGCAAAACGACCACAGCCCAAGACCAGAAAAGCUUUGGACUCUCAGGAAAUGAAAAUGUUGUCUUUGGCAUUGACAGAUGAUGUGGGCCCUAAACCCUGGGGCUAUGCUUGACGAUCCCCCAAAGCCAAACACUCAAAGUGCAAGUGCUUCCUGCUCCAGUACACAGCUUGUCCUGCUCUAUAGAAACAUUUUGCCUCUAACAUGGAUGUUAUAUCUGAAGUAGGAGCCUUCAAACAGAUCUUGUGCACAGGUCUGCAGCUUUGUCUUCCUGUACAGCACAAUAUAAAAUUAGCCUAGUCCUUCAUUUAGAUAGCCAUACUAUAAUAUUUUGGGUUUGCUGAUGAGGGCUGUGAUUUUUUUUGGUAAAUAAGAACCAUAUAUAUUUACAUACAAUCUUUUAACCCUUUGAGUGCCAGUGAGAAUUGCACUGGUAACUGAGAGGUUAAACUGUUAAUGCUUAGAUAUAUGGAUAUUUGAUACUACAAAUUCUGGAACGAUGCCUAGUCAAUAUGGCCGUCUCCAGAAUGGGGUGGCAUCUAACAGUUAACUGUACAGCCAUAUGCGACUGCAAUCCUGUAACUUUAACUAUUUAAAGCACAAUUACAUAAAUAUAUAGAUAGAUAUAUAUACCAUUUGUGGCUCUCAGGGAGGAAAGGAUAACGAUGGUAUUGCUUUUCCAUUUUUAAUUCAAUCUAUUCUUAUCAUAAAGCACAUGGUGUUUCCCUGCAAAUGGUUGCAUAUAUAGGUUGUCUGUAAAAAGAAAUAUACAGUGAGGAAGGCAGUCAAUAUUUAGGGAACAGAACUGACUUUUUAAAGACACCGAACAAUUGGUAGAAAACUGUUUAAAUAUGGACGUGAUAUUCCCAAUUUAUUCCUUAAAUGUUUGGGAAAAUAUAUUUUUUGAGGGAAUCACCCUUUUUCUCUUAUGUUAUCCGAAAUAUUGUUAAAUAGAUUUUAUCAUUUUGUAAUAGCAAUACAAAUGUUUAAAUGGCAAUAAAGUUGCAAGUGAUUCAUAUGUUGAAGAUGUACCUCAGCUUGGCAUCUCUCAAAUUUAUAAUUUUUACAUUGGCCAAACUCUAGAAAAUGUUAAAAAAUGGCUAAAAGAAAUAUCUUAUAUUUUGGAAUUGCAUUUUAUUGUUACAAUUGAAGUAAAACAUUAUCGGUAUUGUCACUUUUAUGCCCUUUUUAGCUUACAGCAAAUGAAUGAUUUACAUACUAACUUUAAUGAUAAAUUUGUGACAAAGAAUCACAUUUCUAUGGUGGAUAGUUUAGCUCACACCUAUUUAUUUUCCCAUGCAUUACAUGUAUUAAGACAUAGUUUAUUGUAAGCUGUGUAUUUUGUGUUACUGAGGGCAAUGCAUUAAAUUUCCUGUUAUGUUUAAAAGGGAAUUCCCAUCCCAGUCACACUGUUGUGACUAGUUCAUUACUUAGCAGAAAAGAAUGAGUAGCCAAACGGUAUUGCCAAGCUGAUUUGGUCAUCGAAUGUUUCUAAACUGUGCGUGUUGUGAAACGGUUUUUAGACUGAAGUGAAGAAGGAACUGCAUAGUGUAGAUAUACAAGGAUUUUCCAACCACUUGCAUAUCUUACAGUUGAAAGAGAAAGUGCCACUUUUUUUUAUGAAAAGAGAUAUUAAAGGUAUUGAUUUAUUACAGUAUUUCUAAGGACUGAUCCCACAAAGUAUUUUUAUGAGCCACAAAUGGAAAGGUGGGGAACAAUUUUAGAAAAUAUUCUUGAUUAUUUAUUCUUUUGCUUUUUAUCACAUGAAUAUGUAGUGUAGAGGUUGUUUUCAUGCUUGUCACUUAAAGAAAUAGAUAACUAUUUAGUAAUGACAGUUUCUGGAGUAGAAAAUGGCUGCUACUAUAGCCCCUUUUUUUCUUUUAAGACUUCAAAUUCUAAAUGUUGUUCUCCAUAAAAUGAUUAAUUGCGAGUAAUUAAAUCAUUUUGUGACCUGCUUCAUUUUUUAUUUUGCCUGCUUUUUCUGUAAUAACUCCCGAAAAUUGCAGUGUUUCCACUCCCCCUACAAAGGUUGGAAUGCAUUCUCAUUUGCAUAUGUCCCUAAUUGGCUACAGCAAGGGAAGGAAGAUAAACAGCAUUCAAAAGACUUUUCUAGGGGUGUGCCCAAGUCCAGAAAAACAGAGAUAGAUAUAGCAACUGUAGAUAGGUGUUUAUUUCCCAGCCCUGUUAAUGAUUAUAGUGAGUGGAUACGUGCUUCCUUAAAGGGAUAUGAAACCCAAAAACUUUAUUUUGUGAUUCAGACACAGCAUAACAUUUUUAAAAAAAAUCCACUUUAAUUCUAUUAUCAAAUUUGCUGCAUUUCCAUGAUAUUCAGUGUUGAAGAGAUACCUAGCUAGACAUCUGAAGCACUACAUGUCAGGAAAUAGUGUUUCCAUCUAAUGCUCUUGCAAAACUGCUGCCAGAAAUGGGCAGACUCCUAAGCAUACGUCCCAGCUUUUUAAAAAAAAGAUACCAAGAAAAACCAGAAGAAAACUUAAUAAUAGUACAUUAGAAAGUUGCUUAAAAUUGCACGCUCUAUUUGAAUCAGGAUAGAAAAAAUGUGGGUUUCAUAUCCCUUUAAUAUAAGCCACAUAAUAUCACGCUAUUUUGCUAACAUACAACCUGAAACUGUUAACCUAAACCAGAAACCCUACUCUGAAGCAGCAGUUACUGUAUUUUGGCCUUUGUGUCUGGGGCUCGUGGCUUAAAAAGACAUAAAUAUUGUGUGCAACUGGUACAAAACAUGCAAGACUUGUGUAUCACAGCACAAGUAAUAAAGUGCUGCUGCUUAACACACUUGUAUUUUAGUUACUUGCUAUCACUCACUGAAUGCACAUGAAGUCAUCAUAAUAAUAGAACUUCUAUUGGAAAGAUUUGCAUUGUGUUUAAUAUCUUUUUUUAAUGAGAUUGUCCCCUAGUGGCCAGAAUUGAGUUGUGCUGCAUUCAUUGGAUAUAUAUGUACCCUGACAACAUUAGGCAAAAAUAAAGGCCAACGGUGACUAACAAGUUAGAGAGCCAAUUGUCUAAAGGUCUCUGGUGAGAUUAUGUAACAAGUCUUAUCAGUACUGUGAGGUCCUCACACAAUUUUAGGAAGGCACAUUUUUAACUUGAGAGCUGUUUAUCUCACUGUGGGCCUGACCACCAGUAGGGAGAGAAAAUACACAAAAUCUGGUGGUUUUAUGAGCAUUGUAUUGUAAUAUGUGCAUCACUUCUUCACAUCCAAAUCUCUACAUAGCAAGUUAAGCAGCUCUUGAUUUAAAAUUCAGAACAUACAUUUCAAAAUAAUGCUGAGAAAACAGCAAUGAUUUUUCAUGAUUUCUCUCCAUGCCAGUGAGUUUAUACAAAUAACCAAUUUACUUUUGUUGGCAAAUUUGCUUCAUUCUGUUGGUAUCCUUUGUUGAAGGAGUAGAAGUGCACUAAUUUGAGCUAACUGAACACAUCAGGUGAUCCAACGUCAAGAGGCAUAUUUGUGCAGCCACCAAUCAGCAGCUAGCUUCCAGUAUUUUAUUGCUGAUCCAUAGCCUACCUAGAUAUGCUUUUUUCAACAAUGGAUAGCAAGAUAACUAAGCAAAAUAGAUAAGUAAGUUAGAAAGUUAUUUAAAAUUGUAUGCUGUAUCUGAAUUGAAAUACAAAUGCAUUUUGGGUUUUAUGUCUUCUUAAUGUUUUCUCUAAGGUGCCUUUGUGAGAACAGAACACCAACAGCAUUUCCCAGAUUUGACAUCUAUCCCACCUGCUUACAACUGUUUUUUAUUUUAUUAAUAAAUAUAUAUAUAUAUAUAUAUAUAUACACAAACAUUUAUUACAUAAUAAAUAAUUUACAGGCAUCUUACAUAUCAUGGGAGAGGGAUCUGGAUUUAUUUUGAGAGCCACAUGCACAAUUUUUAAAGUGCAAUAUAUAAAAGCUGUAGUUAUACAGUACCAAUUUCUACUCCAGAAAUCAUAUACAACAAUUUGAUAAAUAAAAAAAAGUGCAAAUGUUGGAUCAGUUUUUACACCAAAUGUGUAUAUAUAGAACAACAAAAAGAAACACUACUGCAAAUAAAUGCUUGUUUUUGUGACUAUUUUGUGUAACUUUACUUGCAGGAAGACUGGCUUUAAGCAGUGUGUGUGAUACCAAAAAUAGACCCUUUUAAUUUGUGAACUUUUUACUUUUUUUUGCAAAGGAGAAUUAUUCUGAAAUAGUUUUGCAGCAAGCUGCCAAUUCACCCCUUACCUAUUUUCUCAGUGCAAAGAAAGUAAUUUAAUAGCUUAUUACAAAAAUAAAAUGGUGGCUGUGUUUUAAUGGCAUAUGAACCAAUUAUAUUGUACUUGGCUUUAUGUAUAUGUUAACCACUUAUAUGUUGUUCUGGCUUUUGUUUUAUAGUGAUUGUGAGGCAUACAAUGCAAGUUUAUAAUUAUUUUCUCAUUAAAACACAAACCAAAGUUGUAUUGUU